AGCUAGAGUAUGAUAGAGGAAAGCAGAAUUUCUAGUGUAGAGGUGAAAUUCGUAGAUAUUAGAAAGAAUACCAAUUGCGAAGGCAGCUUUCUGGAUCAUUACUGACACUGAGGAACGAAAGCAUGGGUAGCGAAGAGGAUUAGAUACCCUCGUAGUCCAUGCCGUAAACGAUGUGUGUUAGACGUUGGAAAUUUAUUUUCAGUGUCGCAGCGAAAGCAUUAAACACACCGCCUGGGGAGUACGACCGCAAGGUUAAAACUCAAAUGAAUUGACGGGGACCCGCACAAGUAGUGGAGCAUGUGGUUUAAUUCGAAGAUACGCGCAGAACCUUACCAACACUUGACAUGUUCGUCGCGACUUUAAGAGAUUAAAGUUUUCGGUUCGGCCGGACGAAACACAGGUACUGCAUGGCUGUCGUCAGCUCGUGUCGUGAGAUGUUGGGUUAAGUCCCGCAACGAGCGCAACCCUCACUUUUAGUUGCCAUCAUUAAGUUGGGCACUCUGAAAGAACUGCCAGUGAUAAGCUGGAGGAAGGUGGGGAUGACGUCAAGUCCUCAUGGCCCUUACGUGUUGGGCUACACACGUGCUACAAUGGCAUUUACAAUAGGAAGCAAGAUGGCGACGUCAAGCAAAUCCUAAAAAGAUGCCUCAGUUCGGAUUGUACUCUGCAACUCGAGUACAUGAAGCUGGAAUUACUAGUAAUCGCGGAUCAGCGCGCCGCGGUGAAUACGUUCCCGGGUCUUGUACACACCGCCCGUCACACCAUGGGAGUUGGUUCUACCUUAAGGCAAGGUUUAAAACCCUUGACCACGGUAUAGUCAGCGACUGGGGUGAAGUCGUAACAAGGUAAC
rnacentral:rRNA from 1 species